GACGGGGGGGGCAAGUGUUCUUCGGAAUGACUGGGCGUAAAGGGCACGUAGGCGGUGAAUCGGGUUGAAAGUGAAAGUCGCCAAAAAGUGGCGGAAUGCUCUCGAAACCAAUUCACUUGAGUGAGACAGAGGAGAGUGGAAUUUCGUGUGUAGGGGUGAAAUCCGUAAAUAUACGAAGGAACGCCAAAAGCGAAGGCAGCUCUCUGGGUCCCUACCGACGCUGGGGUGCGAGAGCGUGGGGAGCGAACUGG
rnacentral:rRNA from 1 species